AGAGUUUGAUCCUGGCUCAGGAUUGAACGCUGGCGGCGUGCUUAACACAUGCAAGUCGAACGAAGCACUUUACUUCGAUUCUUCGGAUGAAGAGUAUUGUGACUGAGUGGCGGACGGGUGAGUAACGCGUGGGUAACCUGCCUCAUACAGGGGGAUAACAGUUAGAAAUGACUGCUAAUACCGCAUAAGACCACGUUGCCGCAUGGCAGAGUGGUGAAAACUCCGGUGGUAUGAGAUGGACCCGCGUCUGAUUAGGUAGUUGGUGGGGUAACGGCCUACCAAGCCGACGAUCAGUAGCCGACCUGAGAGGGUGACCGGCCACAUUGGGACUGAGACACGGCCCAAACUCCUACGGGAGGCAGCAGUGGGGAAUAUUGCACAAUGGGGGAAACCCUGAUGCAGCGACGCCGCGUGAAGGAUGAAGUAUUUCGGUAUGUAAACUUCUAUCAGCAGGGAAGAAAAUGACGGUACCUGACUAAGAAGCCCCGGCUAACUACGUGCCAGCAGCCGCGGUAAUACGUAGGGGGCAAGCGUUAUCCGGAUUUAUUGGGUGUAAAGGGAGCGUAGACGGUCUUGUAAGUCUGAUGUGAAAACCCGGGGCUCAACCCCGGGACUGCAUUGGAAACUAUAGGACUAGAGUGUCGGAGAGGCAAGUGGAAUUCCUAGUGUAGCGGUGAAAUGCGUAGAUAUUAGGAGGAACACCAGUGGCGAAGGCGGCUUGCUGGACGAUGACUGACGUUGAGGCUCGAAAGCGUGGGGAGCAAACAGGAUUAGAUACCCUGGUAGUCCACGCCGUAAACGAUGACUACUAGGUGUCGGGGAGCAAAGCUCUUCGGUGCCGCAGCCAACGC
rnacentral:rRNA from 1 species